AGUCCUCCUAGGAAUCACGUUCCUGAAAGAUAAUGCUUAUCCUUCAAUACCCUCCUCACUGCUUAAACCAAGUGAGAUGGUUUUAUCUCGGCGGUAUGACAAAACGACCGAGCUAUAUCAGCCAUGCUAAACUGGCUGAAAUGACCGAGCUUUAUUUAGCUCGGUCCUCCCCUCCACUGUACGUAUAUUGGCUUCUCUGGCUGAGACCGUGCUGACCAUACUGAGCCUAGACCGAGCUAACCCGUAGCAAGGUCCUGAGAAAAGCUCAGCAUACCUUGGUUCAGAAGGGUAUGAUCGAGCUAACUGUUACCGCUCUGAGUAUGGUGACCGAGCUAACUGCAGAGCUCUCUGGGACCGGGCUAACUGCAGAGUUCUUUUGGACCAAGCUACCUUCUAGGCCUUUUUACUCGGCCUCUCUUACAAUGACCCACAGAUCGGCCCAUUUACCCAGCUCGGCCCAAUUUACUUAUAAAUUACCCUUUCACUACUGAAUUUGCUUCAAACUAUGGAAGAUUUUGAAAUGUUUGAGGAAUCACAAAUGUCAGAGCACAACACUGAUAUUAAUUUUAUUUCGAAAAUUUCACGAGAGCAGAACAUUGAUAUUCAUUUUACUUCUAAAACUUCCCGUGUUUCUUGUGGUAAAGCGUUCACAAUUAUAGAAGAUGAAACAUUAUGUAGAUCUUGGUUGGUAGUCUUUCAAGAUCCCAUUACUGGUAAUAGUCAGACCAUGGCUAUAUUUUGGGAAUGAGUACUUGUUUAUUUUAAUUCACAAUUGAGCAGUAAAUCAAAUCGAAAUCGUAUUUCUUUGUCUCACCGUUGGUCUAGCAUGCAAAAGGCAAUUAAUAAAUUUUGUGGUUUUCUUGAGCAAAUUCAAUUGAGGCAACAAAGUGGAACAACUGAGACAGACAUGGUCGUUGAAGCGAAGCGGAUGUAUCAUGCAAUAUAGAAAAAACACUUCACAUUUGAUACAUGUUGAGAUAUUUUGCGUCGAAGUUGUAAGUGGGAUGAAUUUAGAAUACAAUCCAAAAAAACCACGCAACAUGCUUAUCCAUGUUCGAAUCCACCAACUGAAGAUGAGGCUUUUCAACCUAACUAGAAUAUUGCGGUGCACCAACAACCAACUAAUACAUCAACACGACAAAUUAGUACUAAGGCAACGAAAGAGAAAUUGAAGAAUAAAAAAACUCACGAUAGUAGAUUUGACGAAAUGACUGCCAACCAAUCCAAAAUUGUUGAAGUGUUAUCAAUUAUCUCCGCUAGAACUGUUGAGCGAGAUGAACAAAAGGCGAUAGACCGUGAACAGAAGGCUGCAGAGCGUCAAAGAAGGGCCGAGGAUAGGGAGGAACAACUAAAACUCCUAUCUAUGAUGAAUGAAAGAGAACAACAAAAUGAAGAUCAUAAAAUAAUGUCAAUGGACAUGACAAAUUUAAAUCCUAUGCAAAUGGCGUACUACGAAGAUCUUCAGCGACAAAUCUUAUUUCGAACAACUAAUAGAUUGCCUUGAUGGUUUCUGUAUUAGUGGGUAGUAUUGGUUUUAUUAUUUAAAAACAUUGAUAGUGGGUUGUAUUGGAAUUAUAGUAUUCAUUGUUUUUUUAUAACAUAUAAUUGUAUUGAUUUGA